AACAGUGAGAAAACUGGCUGUCGAGGCCGGGCGCGGUGGCUCAAGCCUAUAAUCCCAGCACUUUGGGAGGCUGAGACGGGUGGAUCACAAGGUCAAGAAAUCGAGACCAUCCUGGUCAACAUGGUGAAACCCCGUCUCUACUAAAAAUACAAAAAAUUAGCUGGAUAUGGUGGCGCGUGCCUGUAAUCCCAGCUACUCAGGAGGCUGAGGCAGGAGAAUUGCCUGAACCCAGGAGGCGGAGGUUGCGGUGAGCGGAGAUCUCGCCAUUGCACUCCAGCCUGGGUAACAAGAGCGAAACUCCGACUCAAAAAAAAAAAAAAAAGAAAAGAAAAGAAAAGAAAAGAAAACUGGCCAUCACACCUUGCCUAGAUUGUGAAACCCAACUCAUUCCACCAGUGUCGCCUCACGGACUGGCUUUGGAAAUCCCAUUAAUAACUCCCCUCUGGCCUCGAAGCCCUGCUACCCUUAUCUGUCAACGAUCAUUUCACAACUGGGGAGUGACAUCUGUCCAUGUACUCACUUUGUAUGGUCUGGUCAUUUACAGCCUAGACACAUUCUUUUCAAAGUUCUCUUACUUGAUCCUCAUGAUAAUGGAAUUCCAACUGGGCAGAGGGAAACUAAAGCUCGGAGAAAUUAAAUAUAUUACCCAAAUAUCUGAACAAAGAAGUCAUCAGUGGAGCCAGGACAAGAACCCAACUCAUCGCAUUCCUAGUUCCUUCCACCUCCUUUCUUCAGGGGUCUGCUGGAAGGCAGCAGGGAAGCGGGAGGUCGCACACUCCCGCACAAGGCAAAGGGGUUAACAGGAGUGCGUUGUGACUUUUGUCCUUCUGCCAAGUCCCCUCAUGUCCAAUUUACAUUGUUAUACAAUGCUGAUUUGUGCAUUCUUGUUAAUGUUUCUUUAUAGAUGUUUUAGUUAUGUCUGCCCCAUAUGUGCAUCUGACUUUUUUCGUAGACUCUGAGCUAGCUCCUGGCUGCACAACUACCCAGGGAAUCGGAACAGGUUUCUGCAUGCAGCUCUUUGGUGAGAGUGACUUAGGGCCCCUUGAGGGGCAUGAGAAAACGAUUUCAAUACCGGGAACACUGGGGCAGGUAGAAAUUCAACGUAUUCCAGCCUUUCCAUCUUCCUGCUAGGCCCCAGCCGGGCUGCCCAGCCUCCUCGUUAGCCUCUGUGAGAAAUUAAAGCCCCAAUAAUCAAAUCAACCCUUGUAAAUUCUCUAAAAGCCGCUCCAGAGCACCAAGGAGCCAGCAAACCCCAGACCCAAAUCCAUGUCAAAUUUCAUAGAUAUAAUUUAAGCAGGGAUCAAAACCCACACUAACCUAGUAACUAAGGCUGCUCAAAAUGCACUUUAUAGUCCAUCUGCCUCUCUGCUUCAGGGAGUCUGUAUUAAAUUUAUUGCAAAGUAAAACAAAUAAACCCAGGCAAAGGCAAGAUGGAAAUCUGCAUACUGUCAGAAAAUUAGCAGCCCUCUCGGGUUAGGAAGGCUGCCUCUCAAUUUGCAUCUCUAAGGAGUUGUGACUGGUGCUGGGGGCUGGGAUGGUCGGGGCAGGAGGGAGACUCAGAGCAGGCCUGCCCCCUUCUGGCUCAUUGUAGAACUGCAACCCUCUGGCCUCGGAGGUGGGCGCUGCAGGGCUCGCCCUGCCAGCUUUUGAAAGAGAAUCUGCAGCUGAAAUAAAUAUUGAAAAGGUGUGGAAUUGGAAGAGCAGGUGGUAGAGAGAGGGGAGGGAAGGGCUCUGUGGGGGAAGUGAUCCUCAUUUCUAAACGUAAGGCUUGAGGAAGGAAGGCUGGAACUUGAAGUGGAUGGAUAUAGAAAUUCAGAGCUGUCUUUUCAGUUAUAGGAACAGGAGAUCACGGUGCAUUUCUUGACUCCACUUCCCUUCUUUUCCUUCUCCCUCUCCCUUGCUCGUCACAGUCAGAAAACGCAGAAGACUGGAGCGCAGGCGGCAGGGGUUCUUGCACUGUUGGCUGUUGAGUCCUUGCCACCCCCGGCUGUGUGACCCUUGGAGAGAGCUGUGCCUUGGGACCAGGAACUGAAAGAAAGCACCAGAAGAGGCUGUCCCAGAAGAGGCUUUGAAAGGCAAGGAGGAAGCUUAUGGAUGAACAAGCAAAGCAUUUCCACAAGGAACACAUGCAGCCGUGCCGAGGAAUGAUUCAGCCAACUAGGUGACAAGGAAAGCUCGCUACUUCUUGGAACCUGCAGAGCCCAAGUUGGCAUUUUUUUUCCAGCAGAAUCAGAAGCAUCAAAGAGAAGAGUGGCAUGUCCAGAAUAAGACCAGGCCUCUCUAGCAGGGUCCCACAAUGAAGAGAAGACGUGGAGUGGAGCCAGUGCCACAGCCAACGUGUACCAUGAUGAGAGAUACAGCUUUGUGUGGUGAGCCGCUGAGAUUUUGUGGUUGUUUACCCCACAGCAUAACCAGCAUAAGCUGAUGGCUACAGAGAAAAUCACAAAUUAGUUGGAGAGACGGUUUAUUUACACCCGAAACACAGGGUGAUGGAUGCUUUGCUAGAUGCAUACACGGAAGAUUCAAAAAUAGGUAAAAAGAGAGAAUAACUCUCUCUUUGGGAAGGAGGAAUCAGGAAAGGCUUUCUAGGAGACAAGAUAGAUGGGAAGUGUUUAAAGGUUGAAGAGAUGUCCACCACAUCAGGUGAUUAGAGCUUUAAUUAUUGAAGCACUCUAAUCAGAGAGACCAGUGUGCACAGACAUGAAAUACCACGGCAUAUUUGAGAAUUGCCUGUACCACCCACACUGUGGACCAGGAUCAGGUUUCUUAAUCUUUGUAGCCUACUGGCCUUCGACCACUGUGUCGGGUCCCCCAAGGGGUAUCUGCAGACACGCAGAUAAAGAUGCAUUGCUUAUUUUGGUCAGAGCUUUGACCACGAAUCCUCAUCUGAUCUCACACCCUGAAAAGCUGAGCUGGGUUGUGUGUGAACCAUGCGGACUCUUUUAUGAAAGUUUAAUUUUUAUUCAUCAAAGAAAAUAUAUAUAUAGUUUGGAAAUCAACAGUGGCCUUGCCUCACCUCUCUACACUUACAAGUCCUGCCUAAAGGCGGUUACCAUCAACUCUUACGUCUCCUUUCUUUUUUGUAUAUAUCGCUGUGUUUCUAGAUAAAAUGUUGAUAUUGUUACUACUUAAUU